rnacentral:lncRNA from 1 species
AGUGGGAAUAAUGAGGGAGAAUUAAGAUAAUCAUGUGCUUUCUCAUAAGCUAAACAACUUUCACACCUUUCCCCACGAAUGAAAGUCAAACCUCUCCCUCUUUCCUCACACAACUCUCCAAGAACUAAUUUCUCUGUUCCACAAUCCAAAUUCUUCGCAAUCUCCAUUGAAGAAUUUGUAUUCACAGCAAUGAGUUCCAUAUCCUUAUUCCUCUCUAUAUACUCUCACCAAUACUAAAUCAGUUUGACCAGAGAAAUUCGAGUUUGGAAUUGUUGCGAUGGCAGAAGCUGUUGUGUCGACUGCUCUGGAAACCUUGCGCGAUUUGUUGGUGGAAGAAGCAAGGUUUUUAUCCGGUGUGGGUGACGAAGUGAAGGAGCACGAGAUCCAGCUCAAAGAGAUGAAGUGUCUUCUCAAAGAUGCCGACAGAAGACGACAUGAAAAUGAAAUCAUUUUCAAUUGGAUCUCAGAGAUCAAAGAUCUUGUGUACAGAGCAGAAGCUGCCAUUGAAAGACACUCAGCUCAUCAAGUGACUUCAAGGAGAAGACGAGGCCUCAGACAGCUCGUCCGCAAAUGUAGUUGUAGUUUGAAAGAAUACAAGUCGAUCCACCAAUUAGGCUCGGAGAUUUCACCGAUCAAAUCACGACUUGAAAGAAUAAACAAGGAAAUGUUAGAAAGUGGCAUAAAGAAGAGCAUCAUCAACAAUACAGAUGAAGGGGAAAGCUCGUCCGCCAACAACAGGGCAAGGAAGAGCUUUCCCGAAUUCGAGAUCGGAGACUGUUUUGUGGGGAUGAAAGAUGAGCUCAAGCAGCUUCUUCAUCUCCUAGUGGAAGAAAAUGUUGAGAAAAUUGGGAAAGAAAUGGUGAAGAAAUGUGGGUAUUUGCCGUUGCCAAUUUCUUUACUCGGUGGGGUCUUGAGAAAGAAAAAUUCGAUGAUGGAGCGGGAGUUAGUCAAAGAAAUCUAUAUACGAUGUGGAUAGGGUAAACUUUCAUAGCUUAAAUUUAGCACUCCAUUAUAUCUUAGGAAUCUAUAUACGAUGUGGAUAGCACAAGGCAUGAUUUCAUAUGAGAAUAUUGGAGACAAGGACAAAACUUUGAUGGAAAUUGCCGAGCUCUACUUGGGUGAGUUGGCCUCCAGGUCCAUCGUCCAACUUGAAAUUAAUUACGGCGAUGCUGUCACAAGUGGAAGAAAAUAUAGGAGCUGCAAACUUCAUGAUGUAGUAAGAGAACUAUGUUUGAAAUUGGGGAGAAGUGAGGAUUUUGGUGCUCAGAGUUUGGAGUAUCAAAGUGGGAAAGCUUCCUCGCAUAGGAAAAUACGGCAUUUGGCUAUACAUUUCAGGAAGGAAGUUCAAGUGGAACCUGACGAGCUUACACUCACUUGGGGAGAAGAUAGUAGUGAACAUUUAAGGUCUCUUCAAAUGUUCAGUCACAUAAAUUCGGGUGUUGUUGAGUUUCCCCCGCAAGGUAUUGUUGAUUUUCAGAAAUUCAAAUUGCUGAGAGAUCUAGGUAUGGUGGGAUUCAAAUUUGAAGGAAGAAAGUUAUCGAAAGGAAUCACUAGUCUUGUUCACCUUAGACGUUUGUGUUUAGAAAAAUGUGAAUUUGAUAAGCUACCAUUGUCCAUAAGGAAUUUGAUAUACAUGGAUACCCUUGAUUUAAGUUAUUCGAUGAAUGUUGGAGUUCCAAAUGUUUUUAAGGAGAUGGUACGUUUAAAGCACUUGUUUCUUCCCAAUUAUGAUGAGGAAAAAAUUGGAAGUUAUCGAUUGACAUUGGACGAGGGAGUGAUUGAGUUGGAGACCCUGUGGAAUUUGGAUAGUCGAGUGCAUGACUUAAAAUGUAUGAACAGAAUGAAGAAUCUGCGAACUUUCUCAACAAAAAUAUACGACAACGAAAGCUUGUCAGCCAUCAUCGACGUCAUUGCUCUCAUGGAAAUGUUACAGCAUUGUUGGGUUGGAAUCAAAAAGGGUUGCGAGUUAGGAACAAAUAAGGGAGUGUUAACGCUGAAGAAGGUAAUCACAUGUCCCAAUCUUGAUUCCUUAUGGAUUGAAGUUAAGUUAGGGAAGGCGCUGGCACUGGCAGAGUGCGGGAGUGACUUCAUCAGUUCAAAACUUUUAAGUUUGGUCCUGUCAGAAUGUGAGAUUGAGGAUGAUCCAAUGGGGAUACUGGGGAAGCUUCCUUGCUUGAUAGAGUUGUAUUUAGACAAUGAAUCAUUUGUGGGGAGGAGAUGAUGUGUCCAUCAAACAGUUUUCCUCGCCUCAAGAAGCUUAGUGCUCGUUUGGUUCAAGUAGAGGAAUGGAAAGGGAAUGGAAUCAAAUAAAGGAGUGGAAUGGUAACAAUAACCAUUACUUUUAUUGAGUGUUUGGUUUAACAAUGGAAAUGAAUCAUUAGUAAGGGAUUCUCUUUCAUUUGUUUCCCCUCUAUUUUGAGGGGUAACAAAUUGGGUGAUUGGGUUACCCUCAAGUAAGGGUAAUGAUUAUCUUAUUAUCCAAACCAAACAACAAAUAAUGGAUUCAAUUACUUUAUUCCCUUUCCAACCUCUAAAAACACUCAACCAACGUGGGCUUAGUUUAUAUCUAUUACCAAAGUUGAGGGAGUGGAGAGUGGAGGCAGGAGCCAUGCCCCUUCUCUCUCAAUUACAAAUAGAUGAGUGUUCUAAUCUGGAGAUGCUUCCAGAUGGAUUGAGUCUCAUUUCCACUCUUCAGGAACUAGAAAUUAUUGAUAUGCCAGAAUUGGGAAAAAGGGUAUCAACAUCAGGAGAGGAUUUCCACAAAGUCAGCCAUGUCCUUUCAAUUAUCAUCUGAGACAAUUGAUGACUAACUAGUCUAGUUUCCACCCAGGUAAUGCUUGCACCAAUUAAUCUCAUUCUCAAUUCACAAUUCUGUUGCUUCAAUUUUAGUUUUUCUCUAAAAGAUAGGUAUCUCGAUAAGGUUUUAACUUUAAAGCUCGACUCAUUCUAAACUUGUAUCGUCUUGGUUUUUGUUGCAGGGCUUGUUGUUCCAUGUCCCAAGUAUUUCUCUUUAAUUAUUUGCAAUCUUUUCUCUCCUCCCUUGUUUCGCUUUAAUCACUUUUUAAAAAAUAAAUGUGUAUAUUUUUAUUAAUCUGGUUGAAUUUGGUGAUUCUGGACAAUUUAUACUUGCUUAUUUCCAUAUGGAGUUAUUUUGGUAAGAUUCAGUCCAUGAGCCUUUGUUUAUAAUUUCUGGAGAUUUAAGCUUUAUUUAUUUCAGUUCUUGAAUUGUGUUUUUUGUUGCUUGGUUGUUUAGAAUCCAAUAAAUUGAAAACUGGGUUGAUUAAUAUGAACAUGCUAUAAUAAUGAUAGUGUGUGUUUUGAAUAGAUGGAUAUAAAAUCCCGAUUGGUAUACGUAAUUCUUAGCUCAAAAUUCUUCGACUAGUAUCUCUACUGCAGAUGGUUUUGAUUAAGCAAGAAAAAUUGGAUUAGGUUAAUGAUAUUGUUGAAGGAAAUGUAGCGAAGCAGACUUGUGGCGCCUACCUGCUCAACACUAAUUUUAAUUAAAAGUUUUUUCAGUAGGUACUUAUUAGGCUAUGUUCAACUACUCAUAAUUAUGUUAACGAAAUAAGCAUAUUGAAAAAUCAAGAUUUGGCAUUGUAAAAAGAGACAUGCAUGCAUGCCAAAAAAAUAUGAUGAAAUUCUCUGUCCAUAUAUGCCCGAUAUCAUCUGUGAUUCCCUAUUAAUUUAACUAAUUUAAUAAUAUUUAUUAUAAAAUAAAUAAAUAUUAUAUUGUACUAAUCUCAGAAUAAUAAUGACAUAUUAUCGGAUUUAAGGUCCAAAAGAUUAACGAAAAUGCCCCAAAUAUACCUCUAACUAUACUGAAUAAAAUAGGUUCUAUAAAUAGAAUUAUUCAUACUUUCAUUUAUCAGCCCAAUUGCAAAGAUGAGUCCAGCCCAAUUUCAUUCUCUCUCUUCCACUCCCUCUAAAAUGGGCCCAUUCCUUAAUUAAGAGAUCCAACAAACAUAAAUUCGGCCCACAAAUUACCACCACUUCAAUUUAUGUUACGAAAUCCCAUAAUAUGAAGAUAUCGAGAAAUUAAAUAUAGUCGAGGAAGACAAUGUCUAGAAUGUUGAUGAUCCAUUUUAAUAUCAAGUGACUUGUGUGUUAUUGAGAGCUGUAGUUUAAUCCCCAAAUAUCCAUCUCUAAGCUAAAAAGCCAAACAAUAAAUAUACCUCAUCAAAGGUAUAGUAUCUAGAGUUCAUUACUAAUUAAGGAUGGGGCAUGUUUGGUCUUGGUGUUACACCGUUGAUAUGUGCUCAAUAUCAACGGUGUUAAAGAGCAAAUUUUUUCUUGAAAUAUCAUGACUAGCCACAGAUAUUAAAAUAAUAAUAAAUAAUAAUAAAAAAAACACAUAUAUUGCACCACUUCAUCAUUCUUGUGGGGUUAAUGUUGGAAUAAAUGGCUUAAUUAGUCCAUAAUUACAUUGUAAUUAAUGGAAUUAAAUGGCAUAUUUGGAAUCUACAUUUUGAGUAGAGGUAUAUUUACUUGUUCAAAUCUAUUAAGAAUUGAAUGAGUAAUUAAAUGCCAAAAGGUAGCCAUUGAAAAUGGAAAUGUGGAGGGAUGUGGAGGGUCAUCCCACAUUGGAAAAAUAAGGAAGUUGGAAGCUAUUUAUAAAGUGCUCUCCACCAUAAAGGAACAAUCAAGUGUGCUUCUCUAUGGUGGACUUAUGGUGCACCCAAGUGGGUUUUUGACUUAGCCUUUUAAGGCUAAAACUCAAUUCCUACGAGGAAGGUGCGAAGCACCUUCCGAGUCCGAGGCCGAGGCCGAGCACGUGCUUGUCGCAAUGGGCGCUUUGUAGGCGCACUUUGCACUUCGCUCGUUCGCGUCGUCGCGAGGAGCCUUUAGUUUUGACAAAUGAAACGGUGGCUCGUGUGACGUGGCAGUGACGUGGAAACAUGUGGCUCGGUGACGUGGCACCGCGUGGCGGAUAAGGAAUCUGGGUGGNUUAUUAUAUUUAUGGAUAAUUGAUAGUAGUAUAUGAUAAUAUUAUGAGUUUAAGAUUUAGAGUUUUGAUAAGGAAUUUUUGUUCUACUAGAGAUUUCUUUACAUUGUUUUAAUUAAUGAGGUUUGCCCCAGAAUCUUUAAUUUAUUUGUAAUUUUUACACGAGAUUUUAAACUUUAUUUCUUUUCUUGAAUUGUCACUGAAUUCUCGCCGAUCCCUUGAAAGAUGAUUUUGCUUGCUACUGUCUACGCAGUAAGGGCAUACCGAUUGUUUGUCGGGUAUUUUUGGUGUAAAACGACGCACCACAUAUGUUCACUUAUAUAAAAGUUAACUAUCCAAAAAAACACCAUUUCUUGGCCAAGAUUCAAUCCUCAUAUUACGAUAUCUCACUAUUAUCUUCCUUAAGGAACCGAACACCAUCUAAGUUUGCUCAUAAAUAAUUCUUAUUAUCAGCAAAUAUUCAAUCAAAAUGACAGACAGAAAAGCAUCUUUUGUUUUCCUUACAAAAAAAACUAUUCUGCUCCAUACUUCAAUAUGUUGACUGCUUACAAACAAACUGCAAGUUGGGAUUUUACUUACAGACAAUAAAAUUAUUAUAAUAAUUAAUAUAAAGACAAGUUGGCUUUUCUGAAACGCGUAUACAAUGUCCCAAAAAUCUAUCAUUAUAUUGGUUUCGAAGUCAUUUAAAUCGAUAAACAUAGAUUUCUUAUUAGAAUUUUAAUUACUCUUCAACAGCUAAUAGUAGGGUAUGAACGACGAAAUAUAUUGUAUCUGCCAUUCUAAUUAAGCUAAAAACCAAAAAGUAAAAACAUACCUCAGCAUAGUUAUCUAGAGUUCGUUACUGUUGAUAUGUGCUCAAUAUUUGGCUUAGAAAAUGUCAUGAAUAAUAUUAAUUUGUUUACAUGUCAUAGCUAGCUCUAGACAUUUCUUAAAACGUAAUAUAUGUCAUAACUUAGCAAAAGGUGACAGGAAACUACCAUCUUAUGAUGUUUAGUUCAUAUCAUAGGCUAAAUUAUUGUAUUAAUAACAUUAAUAAACUCUUAUUGGCUUAAAGCGCCUUAAUUACUCACAACAAUUCAUUAUGCCAGCUAAUGAUGAAUCACCUUAUCAUUUUUUAUACCAUAUUAUUGAGUUAAUUAAGAUAAUGUGCUUUCUCAUAAGCUAAACUACUUUCACACUUUUCCCCACCAACGACAGUCAAACCUCUCCCUUUUUCCUCACACAACUCUCCAAGAACUAAUUUCUCUGUUCCAGAAUCAAAAUCCUUUGCAAUCUCCAUUGAAGAACUUGUAUUCACAACAACGAGUUCCUUAUCCUUAUUCCUCUACACACACUCUCACCAAUAGUAAAUCAAUUUGACCAAGAAAUUCGAGUUUGGAAUUGUUGCGAUGGCAGAAGCAGUGGUGUCGACUGCUCUGGAAACCUUGCGCGAUUUGUUGUUGGAAGAAGCAAGGUUUUUAUAUGGUGUGGGCGAUGAAGUGA